GAUGAACGCUGGCGGUAUGCUUAACACAUGCAAGUCGAACGAAAGUCUUCGGACUUUAGUGGCGGACGGGUGAGUAACGCGUGAGAAUCUGCCUAUAGGUUGGGGACAACAGAUGGAAACGUCUGCUAAUACCGAAUAUGCCGAGAGGUAAAAGCUUUAGUGCCUGUAGAUGAGCCCGCGUCCGAUUAGCUAGUUGGUGAGGUAAGAGCUUACCAAGGCGACGAUCGGUAGCUGGUCUGAGAGGGUGAUCAGCCACACUGGGACUGAGACACGGCCCAGACUCCUACGGGAGGCAGCAGUGGGGAAUUUUCCGCAAUGGGCGAAAGCCUGACGGAGCAAUACCGCGUGCGGGACGAAGGCUUUUGGGUCGUAAACCGCUUUUGUUAGGGAAGAACACAAUGACGGUACCUAACGAAUCAGCAUCGGCUAACUCCGUGCCAGCAGCCGCGGUAAUACGGGGGAUGCAAGCGUUAUCCGGAAUUAUUGGGCGUAAAGCGUCCGCAGGUGGUUUAUCAAGUCUGCUGUUAAAUAGUGGGGCUUAACCCCAUAAAGGCAGUGGAAACUGAGAGACUAGAGUACGGUAGGGGUAGCGGGAAUUCCCAGUGUAGCGGUGAAAUGCGUAGAUAUUGGGAGAACACCAGCGGCGAAGGCGCGCUACUGGACGAAACUGACACUCAUGGACGAAAGCUAGGGGAGCGAAAGGGAUUAGAUACCCCUGUAGUCCUAGCUGUAAACGAUGACAACUAGGUGUUGCGCG
rnacentral:rRNA from 1 species